GCAGUGGUGGUUCCGUGGUAAAAUUCUUGUCUUCCACAUGGGAGACCUGGGUUCAAUUCCCGGCCAACGCA
rnacentral:tRNA from 1 species